rnacentral:rRNA from 1 species
CUUAAAGGAAUUGACGGGGCCCGCACAAGCGGUGGAGUAUGUGGUUUAAUUCGAAGCAACGCGCAGAACCUUACCAGCCCUUGACAUCCCGGUCGCGGAUCGCAGAGAUGCUUUCCUUCAGUUCGGCUGGACCGGUGACAGGUGCUGCAUGGCUGUCGUCAGCUCGUGUCGUGAGAUGUUGGGUUAAGUCCCGCAACGAGCGCAACCCCCGCCUUCAGUUGCCAACGGUUCGGCCGUGCACUCUGGAGGAACUGCCUGUGACAAGCAGGAGGAAGGUGGGGAUGACGUCAAGUCCUCAUGGCCCUUAUGGGCUGGGCUACACACGUGCUACAAUGGCGGUGACAGAGGGAUGCAAUACCGCGAGGUGGAGCAAAUCCCUAAAAGCCGUCUCAGUUCGGAUUGUUCUCUGCAACUCGAGAGCAUGAAGUUGGAAUCGCUAGUAAUCGCGGAUCAGCUCGCCGCGGUGAAUACGUUCCCGGGCCUU